AUAGCAAAGAGGGUGAAAGGCCCGUAAAAGAAACAAUCAAUGUGUUACGGGAAUGGAGUCACGAGAACCCCGAAGCACGGGAAAGGUUGGGGGAAUAUGGGAGGACCACCUUCCAAGGCUAAAUACGUGCCGUCGACCGAUAGUGAACAAGUACCGUGAGGGAAAGGCGAAAAGAACCCCUGUGAGGGGAGUGAAAUAGAACCUGAAACUGUCUGCCUGCAACCUGUGGAAGGGCUAUAUCUUCUUCGGAAGAAAUGCCUGACCGCGUGCCUUUUGCAUAAUGAUCCGGCGAGUUAUCUUCAGUGGCAAGGUUAAGCCGAUUAGGUGUAGCCGUAGCGAAAGCGAGUCUGAAUAGGGCGUUUAGUCACUGGGGGUAGACCCGAAGCGAGUCGAUCUAUCCAUGACCAGGGUGAAGCAGAGAGAAAACCUCCGUGGAGGCCCGAACCGGUUAGGGUUGAAAACCUAUCGGAUGAGUUGUGGAUCGGAGUGAAAGGCUAAUCAAGACUCGUGAUAGCUGGUUCUCCUCGAAAUAUAUUUAGGUAUAGCCUCACGUGAUGGCGUAUGGAGGUAGAGCACUGAAUGGACUAGGGGGUCGAAAGAUCUACCAAACCCAAUCAAACUCCGAAUACCAUAUUGCUUAGCGUGGGAGUCAGUCCAUGGGAGAUAAGUUCCAUGGGCGAAAGGGAAACACCCCAGAUCGUCAGCUAAGGCCCCAAAAUCCGGGCUAAGUGGGAAAGGAUGUGAAGUCGCAUAGACACCCAGGAGGUAGGCUUAGAAGCAGCCACCCUUUAAAGAGUGCGUAACUGCCCACUGGUCGAUGCGGCUUCGCGCCGAAAAUGUAACGGGGCUUAAGCCCGGUGCCGAAGCUACGGGUUGUACUUUAUAGUGCAGCGGUAGAGGAGCGUUCUCAACGGAUUGAAGGGUUACCGUAAGGAGGCUUGGACUGUUGAGAAGUGAGAAUGCCGGAAUGAGUAGCGAUAAAGAUGGUGAGAAUCCAUCUCGCCGUAAACCUAAGGUUUCCUGGGCAAGGCUCGUCCUCCCAGGGUAAGUCGGGUCCUAAGGUGAGGCCGAAAGGCGUAGUCGAUGGAAAACAGGUUAAUAUUCCUGUACCACUCAAUUGGAGCGAAGUGGUGACGGAGGAGGGUAGGUCAGCCAGGUGCUGGAUUACCUGGUUCAAGCUCGUAGGGGGAAGAGAUAGGUAAAUCCGUUUCUUCAUUAACCCUGAGAAGUGAGUACGAGGGGCAAUUCUGCCCCAUAAAGUGAUUGAUCCCAUACUUCCAAGAAAAACCUCGUAGUGUUGAUGAUUGAGUGCCCGUACCGUAAACGGACACACGUAGGUGAGUUGAGAAUACUAAGGCGCGUGAGAGAACUUUGGCUAAGGAACUCGGCAAAAUUGCCCCGUAACUUCGGAAUAAGGGGUGCCCACAUUAAGUGAAAGCCCUGCGGCUGGAGCUGAAGUGGGUCACAGCAAAGAGGUGGUGACGACUGUUUACCAAAAACACAGGGCUCUGCAAAGGCGUAAGCCGACGUAUAGGGCCUGACACCUGCCCGGUGCCGGACGGUUAAAGGGAAUUGUUAUCCUAGCUUGCUAGGAGAAGCUCUGAACUGAAGCCCCGGUAAACGGCGGCCGUAACUAUAACGGUCCUAAGGUAGCGAAAUUCCUUGUCGGGUAAGUUCCGACCUGCAUGAAAGGUGUAACGAUUGCCACGCUGUCUCGGCCAAAGACUCAGCGAAAUUGUGGUUCCGGUGAAGACGCCGGAUACCCGCUACGGGACGGAAAGACCCCGUGCACCUUUACUAUAACUUAGCGCUGAAUUUUGGUGCUGCACGCGUAGCAUAG
rnacentral:rRNA from 1 species